CCGCCCCACGCCCUUCAGGGACGGCGAGAGCGCGCCUGCCCCGCCCCCGUGCCGUCCCCUGCCCCCCAGGGCCACAGGAGCGGCUCCAGCUUUUCAAUUCUGCCGCCAUCUUUAGGGCGGCCAACUUCCCGGCCUCCUCGCGCUCGGGAGGGCCACGCUCGGGGCGGUAGGAAACGGGGGAGGGGCCAGCCAGAAGGGUCUCAAUGAAGCCCCUUUCUGAGACUUCCUCCUCUCCAGCGCCUGUGUUACUCAAACCCUGAGGAAGGCGGAAAGGCUGUGACAAGCAACGCCUGGGCUCUGUCUGAACGAAACGUAGCACCUUAACAGUGACCGGGAUCGCGGCCCCGCCUUUUACAGCCGAGGCCAGACAGUCCGGCGGGUUGCCGGCCACCCUGCGGGUUGGAGUCAGCAGCAGCCGGGCACGGUUUUGCCACUAAGCCAAGCUACCGAGUGUCGGGAGACAAACAGCACUGAAGUCAGCUAGAACAACCUGCACCAAGCCCUAGCCUUGUUAACCUCUUUGGCUGAAUGUUAUUUUCCAUGUUAUCAAUCUGGAAGUAAUAUUCCUGCCCGGUCUCAAGAGAUUUAAUAAAAUAUGUAAUUGGAUUUGUAUACUCUAAAAUGCUCGAAUGGGGGUGCCUGGGUGGCUCAGUCGUUAAGCGUCUGCCUUCGGCUCAGGUCAUGAUCCCAGGGUCCUGGGAUCGAGCCCCGCAUCGGGCUCCCUGCUCCGCGGGAAGCCCGCUUCUCCCUCUCCCAGUCCCCCUGCUCAUGUUCCCUCUCUCGCUGUCUCUCUCUCUGUCAAAUAAAUAAAUAAAAUUAUAAAAAUAAAUAAAUAAAUAAUAAAAUAAUAAAAUGCUCGAAUGAAUUUAGCAGGUGCGAAAUGAGUUUCAAGUACUGCUCGCCUUCCUAGCCUGACACUCAAGACCCUUGAGUGUGUAGUCCUUGCCCACCUCUCCUCUCGGAGAACACCCCGCCACCCUGCAACGCUCCACUGUGUCUCCAACAAGCUGCACCUUUGCCGCUUCAAUACCUUCCCUUGUGGGUUCCUCCGCCGGCGGGGGUGGGGGGGUCGAA